rnacentral:rRNA from 3 species
GGGUUGUGAGGUUAAGCGACUAAGCGUACACGGUGGAUGCCCUGGCAGUCAGAGGCGAUGAAGGACGUGCUAAUCUGCGAUAAGCGCCGGUAAGGUGAUAUGAACCGUUAUAACCGGCGAUUUCCGAAUGGGGAAACCCAGUGUGACUCGUCACACUAUCAUUAACUGAAUCCAUAGGUUAAUGAGGCGAACCGGGGGAACUGAAACAUCUAAGUACCCCGAGGAAAAGAAAUCAACCGAGAUUCCCCCAGUAGCGGCGAGCGAACGGGGAGGAGCCCAGAGCCUGAAUCAGCAUGUGUGUUAGUGGAAGCGUCUGGAAAGGCGCGCGAUACAGGGUGACAGCCCCGUACACAAAAGCGCAUGUGCUGUGAGCUCGAUGAGUAGGGCGGGACACGUGGUAUCCUGUCUGAAUAUGGGGGGACCAUCCUCCAAGGCUAAAUACUCCUGACUGACCGAUAGUGAACCAGUACCGUGAGGGAAAGGCGAAAAGAACCCCGGCGAGGGGAGUGAAAAAGAACCUGAAACCGUGUACGUACAAGCAGUGGGAGCCCCACCACCAAAGCAUUCUCUGGUGUUGAAGGCCCUGCAAAGCAGCAUCGCGGUGGCGGAGCGUCGUUUGCGACGCCCAACACACAAAACAAGCGGUGAGUGCUUUGGGGUGGGGUGACUGCGUACCUUUUGUAUAAUGGGUCAGCGACUUAUAUUCUGUAGCAAGGUUAACCG